GACAGAGGUGCCGAGCGUUUAGGCGGAAUCACUGGGCUUAAAGCGUGUGUAGGCGGGCCGUUAAGUACCUUGUGAAAUCCCCCGGCUCAACCGGGGAACGGCUGGGUAUACUGGCGGCCUUGAGCGGCCUAGGGGCAGAUGGAACAGACGGUGGAGCGGUGAAAUGCGUAGAUAUCGUCUGGAACGCCAAAGGUGAAAAACAGUCUGCUGGGGGGCUUGCUGACGCUGAGACACGAAAGCCAGGGGAGCGAACGGG
rnacentral:rRNA from 1 species